ACACGGACCAAGGAGUGCAACAUGUGCGCGAGCCGCUUGGCAAGAAAACCAGAAGGCGCAAUGAAAGUGAAGGCACGGUCGCCGUGCUGAGGUGAGAGCUGCCGCGCGGCAGCGCAUCAUCGACCGAUCCCAUCCGCUCCCUCGUGGUGCGGCGGGAUUCGAGUAAGAGUGCAUCUGUUGCGACCCGAAAGAUGGUGAACUAUGCCUGAAUAGGGUGAAGCCAGAGGAAACUCUGGUGGAGGCCCGUAGCGAUUCUGACGUGCAAAUCGAUCGUCAAAUUUGGGUAUAGGGGCGAAAGACUAAUCGAACCAUCUAGUAGCUGGUUCCCUCCGAAGUUUCCCUCAGGAUAGCUGUAGCCCGAAGCAGUUUUAUCAGGUAAAGCGAAUGAUUAGAGGUAUCGGGGAAGAAACUUCCUCGACCUAUUCUCAAACUUUAAAUAGGUAAGAAGUCCGACUUGCUCAAUUUGAAGCCGGACACAGAAUGCUGGGUUACUAGUGGGCCAUUUUUGGUAAGCAGAACUGGCGAUGCGGGAUGAACCGAACGCCGAGUUAAGGUGCCAAAGUCGACGCUCAUCAGAUCCCACAAAAGGUGUUGGUUGAUAUAGACAGCAGGACGGUGGCCAUGGAAGUCGGAAUCCGCUAAGGAGUGUGUAACAACU
rnacentral:rRNA from 1 species